UUUUGGUAAUAACAGGCAGUGCGUAAGAGGAAUAAAUUCAGUUGUGCAUCUAUGAAAACAUCUCAUACAGCCAUUGGCGGCGCUGGGUAUGCCCACGUAUUCAGCUCAUGUAACAGCCCAUCCAACCCAAUUCUUUGUCGCUCUCGCUAGAAGCUGUCUCGCGGUCUCGCAGCCUCGCACGAACACAAACGGCACACACGGGCGACGACAACUCUAGGCGAUCUAACGCGGAGCAGAUCAGGCGAGCGGCGGCAACCGGCCGGAAGCUGCGGAGCAGCGGCGAGCGGCAGCGAAUAAGGAUGCAUCAUGGCAUCGUGUAAGGGACCACCAUGGCGCGACAUCAACGGCCAUGACCCAAGAUCCCAGAUCAAUGGUUGAGACUUGGAGAAGAUAUUGAAGCUUUUUCUAACGAUGGAAUGAAGAUGCAAAAUAUGAAGAAUUGGUUUGAGAAAUAUCCAAGGGCGGUUAAUUUGGAGCCACCAUGAUUGGUGUUUUUGCAUAGUCACCAUGAUAUUGAGUAUUUCUAGUACUAUAAUAGGUUAGCUUAAUAUAUUGGGAAAUGCAGUGUUUUUCUUGAAUAUGUAUCGUCUCUAUGUUCAUUGUUACGAAUGCAAUGAAAUGACAUGAAACAUGUUGGUUUAUAUCUA